rnacentral:rRNA from 1 species
CGGGGGGGGCAGGCGUUGUUCGGAAUUACUGGGCGUAAAGGGCUCGUAGGCGGCCAACUAAGUCAGACGUGAAAUCCCCAGGCUCAACCUGGGAACUGCGUCUGAUACUGGUUGGCUUGAAUUCGGGAGAGGGAUGCAGAAUUCCAGGUGUAGCGGUGAAAUGCGUAGAUAUCUGGAGGAAUACCGGUGGCGAAGGCGGCAUCCUGGACCGACAUUGACGCUGAGGAGCGAAAGCUAGGGGAGCAAACGGGACUAGAUACCCCGGUAGUCCUAGCCCUAAACGAUGAAUGCUUGGUGUGACGGGUAUCGAUCCCUGUCGUGCCGAAGCUAACGCAUUAAGCAUUCCGCCUGGGGAGUACGGUCGCAAGGCUG